rnacentral:lncRNA from 1 species
ACCUUCUAUAUUAUCCUGAUAGACAAUAUAUAUUUUCCUUUCACACUCCCCUCAAACUCCCCAAAUAUACAGAUUACAAUAUACGUCUUCCAUAUUAACAUGAUAGACAAUAUAUACUUUAAUUUCUCACUUCCCUCAAACUCUCAAGAUGCUAUGAGAUAAAGCAGUUGGAGUUUGAACACUAAUUGUGGAAACGAGCAGUUGACCGGUAGAAGUAGUCGUUGCAGUGCUCAAAUUGCCUGAUCAACGAGCAUAAAACUGAUCAACAAGCUUGAAAAACAGGUUGCUUAAAUAGAGCAUAUACCAAUAACAAUAACUAAGUAAGCCUCGGGAAUAGAUUCCUAUACUAUAACCAGCCUUACCAUAAAUACAAGAUAUUGUAUCUACCCUUCUCAAAUAUACAUAUUACAAUAUACAUCUUCCAUAUUAACCUGAUAGACAAUAUAUAUUUUACUUUUUAGAGUUUCUAUUUUUAAUUUCUAUCUUUGAUAACUUCUUAUCUCCACAAUUCAUAAAUAUUAGGAUGUUGCACAAUCCCACAAAUAUUGGAUGUUGUGCUGGUAACUUAUACAAGACAGUGUAAAGCAAUAGAAGCAUAUCAAUUCUUCUCUUUUAAAUAUUGCUUAUCAAAACUUUAACCCUAGUAAACAAAAGCAUGUCAUAGAAGCUCCCAACAUGCAAAAAAGUUCAAAAGAUUAUUUCAUUGGUGGCACAAGUCUUUCUUUGGAAAAAGGUCCGGCAGAUAGCUGUAAGAGAGGCGGCUAGCUAGGAAUCGGGCUUGGGUCUGGCUAGCAAGGAAUUGGGCUGGGGUCAAGGUGGUAGCAGUAGGGUUUUUGUAGUUCUACAUCUCAAUUUUUAUUCUUAUUUAAUUUUUUCAAAAAAUAAAUAAAAUAGAGGGUUAGUUAAAGGUCAGAAAAAAAAAAAAGAACAAAGAAAACAAACCCAAAAAAAAAGAAAAAAAAAAAAAAGAAUAUGGAGAGUAUGUGAGAGUUAAAAUAGAGGAAAGAUAAAUUUGUUUUUUUCGAUUGAGAGAGAAUGCAAGAGAGAGCUUGGAAAACAUAAUGCUCGAGAGAGACGUGCACUUUUUCUAUAAUUCUAUUCAUUUUUACUUUAUCUUGACAAGUUUUAAUAUAUAUCGGUAACGAAUUUAAUAAUAUCUUGGAAAUUUAAUUUAGCAUACUUUUCGAGGCUCCAAUAUUAUUAUGAUAAAAGCCUUUUUAAUAAUAUGAUAAUUGAAUGUAAAGUAAAAAAUCUUUAUUUGAAUAUGAGAAUAAACAUUGUCAUGGAAAAGUUUAUGUAGAGUUGAGGCUCUAAACAAUCAAAUUAGAGCCUACCUCAAAAAUUUCACUAUAAGUGAUUGUUGUGAUGCUCAAAUAUCCUCUAAUUGAUCGACAUCAAGAUGCAUGAGAUAAGAAAAAAAAUGGAUUUCAAGUUUUGGAAUAGUGUAUUUUGUAAUGCAUUUAUAGACCGUCAAUUUUCAAGAUUUUAAAGUUUUCAUAGAUAUGUCGAUUUACACUAUUUUUUAUGCUUUAAACUUUAUAAAUAAAUAUAAAAUAUACUUUAAGGCUAUCACAAAGAUUUUCAGUGUUGAACCACAGUUCUCGACACUAUUUGAAGGUAAGCUUUAUGCAAACCGCACCAUUACUUAAAAAUUGCAAAAUGCCAAUAUCACAUACUAUAUUUAUUCGUUGAACUGACGCAACCCGAAUGAUAAUUCGGGAUUAUAGAUGAGACAGCUCACAUGAAUUCAUGAAAUGACAUAUCAGAAAUUUGCAAAGAUUUAAACAAGGGGGCAGUUUGCAAGGAAUUGAUAAUGAAUAUGUGAAUUAAAGCUAUUUAGUUGGAUAGUACAAUGCUUUUACAUUUUGACUUUGAUUUCACAGUUGGACUUUGAUACACUAUACAUUUUUAUCAACUUUAUCAUUUAUAAAGUUUUUAACACAUCUAUUUCAAAUUGUGUAUUAUAAAUUGGAAAAAGUUUAUAUAAGUGCGAGGCUCUAAACAAUUAAAUUAGGGCGCGCCUGAAAAUUGUCAUUAGGAGAGGUUGUUUUGAUGCUCAAGUAUCCUCAAAUUGACCAUCUCGACCUCAGAAUGCAUGGACACGAGAAAAAAUGGAUUUCAAGUUUUGGAAAUAGUACAUCUUGUAAUUCAUUUUUGGACCGUCAAUUUUCAAGACAUUCGAUUUACACUAAUUUUGAAGCUUUAACUUUUAUAAUUAGGGAUGAAAAUAUAUUUUAAGGCUAUCACAAAGAUUUCCAGUAUUGAAACCAUAUUUCUUGAUACUAUUUGAAGGUGCAAUUUAUUUUGAUUGUUUAUAGCCUAGGCUCUAUACAAAUCGCACCCUAAUAAAUUAAUGUUUAUUAAUGUCAAUAUAGAAUUAUUUCAGAAUAAAUAUUUUAAUUUAAUAUUCUAAUGUUUAUUAAUGUCAAUAUAGAAUUAUUUCAGAAUAAAUAUUUUAAUUUAAUAUUCUAAGGCUUAGGGUUGGCAAUGGCUAGGGACCUGGGGGCUGUCUUGGCUUAGCCCAGGCUUAGCCUUCGGGCAACAUUUUGUGACUCAUGCCCUAGUUUUUUAAGCUAGGCCAAUUAGGUUGGGUUGGGCCACCCCAAACCAUUGCCACACCUCUAAGGGCCCAACAAUUACCAAAUAAAUUUGUGAUGAAAUAGUGAAACAUAAUAUUGUCCCCAACAGCAUCCCAAUGACAAUAAUUGUCAAUAAGGGAGAUCUAUGUAACAUGACUAGACCAGACUCAAUUGGCAUGUCUAAUUAUUGAUCGGUGGCUUGAUUUGUCUGGUCUAAAGUAAAAAUUGAUCUAAUUGGCUUUAACCAAUCAAUGGUCGAUUUUGACCGGUUAAUUAGAAUCGAGUAAAUAUUUUCAAGGAAAAUAUAUAAUGAGACUAUUUGCAUUUGAUACAAAAUGGUCACAUUAAUUUGAACCAUUGGAUCAAAUUGGGUUGCUCCAAUUAUUCCAUUGAUCAAAUUCAAACUUUAAAGAAAUUUUUUUAAUCUUUGUGACAUAUCCAAGCCAUCAAAUUUUACAUCGGAUGAUUGUAAAUAAUUGUAACCACCAUGUAGUAUGGUUGUAUACAAUUCCGUAUUUUGUUAGGAUAUGAAGCAUCUUGAGUUUGAGGGGGAGUGUUAAAAUACUGAUAUACAUCAGUAUAUAGUAUAUCUCAUGAUAAGAUUAGGAUAUGUAUUCAUAAUAUUAGGUAUAGAUAAGAAGAGACUCACUCAUCAAAUUAUAAGGGGAGUGUGCUACAAUAUGGAUAUAGGUUGUUACUAUUACAUAUCGGUUGAUAAGAUUAGGUGAUGUCUAUCCAUAACCAUUGGUAUAUAUUUUUAAUUGUUAUUACCCAUAUAUUUAUUCAUAGUCUUGUAUAUUUUUAAUUAAUCAAUAAAUAAAGAGUUCUCUACAGUAUUAUGAAAUAAUAUUUUAUGAACCUAAAACCCAAAUAUAUAGAAAUGCAGUUUUUAACAUAUUUUAAUAUAAUUUAUACUUUUAAAUUAUUAUUAAUAUCUUUAUUCGUUUUAGUAGACCACCCCUCAUUGGUUUGGAAGCCAGUUCCAUCCUAAUAACACUAAAACAAAUAUAUGUAAUUUUGUACACACUUGAGACACCACACCAUUGUCUUGUAUUUUAUAAAGUUUAAACACUUUUUUUUCUAACAUCCACUUGGGACUUCAAAAAGGAAUAGAACUUUGCACACUUUUUAACCCUUUUUCUUCAUAAAAUUUCAUAUUAAAUAAAUGGCAGCUAAAAUCUUUUCUUUCUGAAUGAUGGCUAAAAUCUUCUUUAAAAGGCAAUAGAAGGAAGGGAAAGGUUUCUAUAGAAUGGAACUCAGAGAAGUAGGGAGGAAGAGAUUUUCGUAUGGAAAUAUAGAGAGAGAUCUUUCUGCGUUGAGAGAGCGUAAGAUGAGAGUGAGAUAAAGAGACCCGACUCAAUUCGGUCCAAGAUGGACUAAAUCCGGACUGGACCCACAUCAGACAAAUAGUGUCCAGAGCUGGACCCAAGUUGGGUUGGCCUAUCGGGACAGCAGGUCGACCCAAAUUUUAUCGGGCAUUCUGGUGCCCAUAGAAUAGGCCCAAGCCCAGUCCAGCUUAAAAAAAUAAAAAUAAAUAAAUAAAUAAAAGAGUUGGGCCAUAUCGGACAAGACCACACUGGUACCGGUCCCCCAGCUUAAAAAAAAAAUAAAUAAAUAAAAUAAUAAUAAUAACAAUAAUGAGAAUGGUCAGACCAUACUAAAACCUGAACAUCGGGCGAGUUUGUCAGUCGAGCAAGACCGAACCAGACCACACUGGAACCCAGCCAUCGGGCGGUAUGUUGCCCAAGCCCUAC